rnacentral:lncRNA from 1 species
GUUUCCCCAAAGAUCCCCAGGUGAUUCAGAGUAAAACCAGGCAUGGGAAACGCUGAAAUGGGUAUGAAAGCAGGUCAUGUGUGCCAUGGGGCUGUCACUCAAGUAAGAGGUGAUGAACAGACCUGGGGUCCUCUGGGGACAGGGCACUAUAUUUGUAUGUGUCUUGUAGAACCCACGCUUGGAAAUGCUGACAGCAGGCUUCAGGACAGCUGAGCCCCACUAAACACCAAGAAAACCCAUGGCUGUGGCUCCAUCUUUCAACAUGACCAAUCCAC